rnacentral:rRNA from 1 species
UGGGGAAUUUUUCGCAAUGGGGGAAACCCUGACGAAGCAACGCCGCGUGGAGGAUGAAGGCCUUCGGGUCGUAAACUCCUGUCGACCGGGACGAACGCUAUUGGGCCCAAUACGCCCGAUAGUCGACUGUACCGGGGGAGGAAGCCACGGCUAACUCUGUGCCAGCAGCCGCGGUAAUACAGAGGUGGCAAGCGUUGUUCGGAAUUACUGGGCGUAAAGGGCGCGUAGGCGGUCUUGCAAGUCCCGUGUGAAAUCCCUCGGCUCAACUGAGGAACUGCACGGGAAACUGCUUGGCUUGAGUUCGGGAGAGGGAAGCGGAAUUCCGGGUGUAGCGGUGAAAUGCGUAGAUAUCCGGAGGAACACCGGUGGCGAAGGCGGCUUCCUGGACCGACACUGACGCUGAGGCGCGAAAGCUAGGGGAGCAAA